UAAACUAACAGCAGCAGAGUAUUCCUUAGGGCAGGGUGACUGGGGCAACUGCCUCAAGCCUCGUGGUGGCACAGGCCCUGCUCUUGGCACACUGCCUUCCUCUCUCCCCCAGUCCCACCACUUAUCUUUCCCAGCAGCCCAGCUGGAGACGAUCUUUUGUGUCUGUGUGCAGCUUGAAAGGCUCCCAGGCAAGCUGCUAGAGUUCUGCCUCUCUGCUGUUCGGCGGGUAGGUGGGGCCUCCAGAGAUGCCUCCAUGCAGGCCCUCCUGAAGCCUGAAGCUCAGGAAAGAAGCAGGCAAAGAGUGUCCAGCACCCGAGCUCUCUGCAGACCCUCUGCCCAGCCCAACCUUAGUAAUGGAGGUAUCGGAUCUUCACUGGCAAAAUCUUCUAACAGGUGUGCAUCUAAGGAAGAAGUUGGCAAUCCCCUCAUUCUACUCUGGAAAUUGCAUGAAGCAUGAACAGCAUCGUCUAGGAAUUCUCGUAGGGUGGCCCAAUUGGCUAAAGAGGGGUUGAUUCAUUGUAAGCUCUUGGCAUCAUCCAUUAGCAAGGAAACUAACAGUAACUUUAAAGUAUAAGAACUUUAGCAGGCCAAGGGAGGGGCUAUUUGUCAUUUCCUGUGUCACAUGUGAUCAUUCUGCCUCCUUUGUAGGGAAUAUACAUUUGUUGAAAAAUGCUGCCUUGACACAAUAUUGUUGGCUUCUCUUUUAUAAUCUGUUUCCCCAGUUUAUUACUUUCAUUCUGUAUCUGUGGAUGUCAUCACAGAUUUCACUGAUGAAAAAUUCAACGUGAUGCCUCCUUCAGGUCUAGAUGGACUACAGACAUAUGUAUGUAGAUCCUAGGGGAAAAGUCUGACAUGUAUGUUAAACCCCAGAACAUGCUGGAUGCUUUGUUUUAACUCUGCUCAUUAAAGAGACACAAGAGAAUUACCAAGUGAGCAAUUUCAAUAUGUGUGAGAGACAGGUCUGGUAAUGGGAAGGCUAGACUAGUGUUUCAUGUGUGUGAUUGCAUUUAUUUCUAUCCAUCCAUUUUAAUGGUGGUUGUUUUCACCAGAGUGGGGUUUGCUAUCUCGGGAAACAGGAUCUUGCCUGUCCCUGCAUGGAUACAUUAUCAUCUCAUUCAUUUUUUUGGUUUUGGUUUUAGGGCAUGAUCCUGAAACUGCAGGGUACCUUUUGAUGAGGUGCUUAACGUCCUCCACUGAUUACAGUGGCACUGAAAAUGUUUAGAAUGUCAAAUGGCUGGGAAGCCUCAAAACUUAUACAGAUAAAACUGGUGAAUGGGCUAAAGUGUGGGGGUCUGUAAUAUUAGCCAACUACAAAGUGUUUUGAUAUAUUUAGUUAAUGAAAACCCUUGCUUGGA